UACGUAGGUGGCAAGCGUUGUUCGGAAUUAUUGGGCGUAAAGGGCGCGUAGGCGGUCUUGUAAGUCAGCUGUGAAAGCCCGGGGCUCAACCCCGGAGGGUCGGCUGAUACUGUGCGGCUAGAGUGCGGAAGGGGCAACUGGAAUUCUUGGUGUAGCGGUGAAAUGCGUAGAUAUCAAGAGGAACACCUGCGGCGAAGGCGGGUUGCUGGGCCGACACUGACGCUGAGGCGCGAAAGCCAGGGGAGCGAACGGG
rnacentral:rRNA from 1 species